rnacentral:rRNA from 1 species
CAGCCGCCACGGUAAUACGUAGGGUGCAAGCGUUAAUCGGAAUUACUGGGCGUAAAGCGUGCGCAGGCGGUUUGUUAAGACAGAUGUGAAAUCCCCGGGCUCAACCUGGGAACUGCAUUUGUGACUGGCAAGCUAGAGUGUGGCAGAGGGGGGUAGAAUUCCACGUGUAGCAGUGAAAUGCGUAGAGAUGUGGAGGAAUACCGAUGGCGAAGGCAGCCCCCUGGGCCAAUACUGACGCUCAUGCACGAAAGCGUGGGGAGCAAACAGGAUUAGAUACCCGAGUAGUCCCUGUCUCUUUACU